GACGAACGCUGGCGGCGUGCUUAACACAUGCAAGUCGAACGGAAAGGCCCUGCUUUUGUGGGGUGCUCGAGUGGCGAACGGGUGAGUAACACGUGAGUAACCUGCCCUUGACUUUGGGAUAACUUCAGGAAACUGGGGCUAAUACCGGAUAGGAGCUCCUGCUGCAUGGUGUGGGUUGGAAAGUUUCGGCGGUUGGGGAUGGACUCGCGGCUUAUCAGCUUGUUGGUGGGGUAGUGGCUUACCAAGGCUUUGACGGGUAGCCGGCCUGAGAGGGUGACCGGCCACAUUGGGACUGAGAUGCGGCCCAGACUCCUACGGGAGGCAGCAGUGGGGAAUAGUGCACAAUGGGCGGAAGCCUGAUGCAGCAACGCCGCGUGCGGGAUGACGGCCUUCGGGUUGUAAACCGCUUUCGCCUGUGACGAAGCGUGAGUGACGGUAAUGGGUAAAGAAGCACCGGCUAACUACGUG
rnacentral:rRNA from 1 species